AAAGAGUCUCACACAUUUCUACAUAUUUAGUAUGUAUGAAGAGAGAUAAAUAAACACUAACUUUAACUUUGAGAAAACAUAAAAGGAUCUUAGCUGCUGUUCACCCGCCAGCACCAGCGGCAGCUGCUCGUCGCUAACCGCCACUACUUGUUGCUUGCAAUAUCUCAGGUGACGAAGUCAAUGUGCCACAUCAAGCAAGUACUUACUGAGAGAGCAAUUGAGGAACCUGAUCCCAGGAGGUCUGCUGAGAUGAAGAGAAUGAUAAAUGCUCAUUGAUGAUUUAAAAAGGUUCCAGUUGGCAUUAUUGGUUAUGCUGUUAGAAUAGGACAUCCACUUUCGAGGAUGGAAGAUUGCUGACUUGAGGCAACUCUUCUGUUGUUUGUUUUUCUAACCCGUUUGGAUGCAAAUUAAAGAGCAAUUAUUUGUGCUUAUCUAGAGCUUUUUCUUUAAGACAAGUUCCAAUAAGCACCAAUAAAUCUGCAUCCAAACAGGCUCAGACUCUUCAUCACAAUAUUCUAGUGAAGUUUGUUCUUUGGCCGUCCUUGCCGCUUGUAAAUACUUAUGAAAUGUACCUGUUGGCCGAGAUAGAAAAUUCUGAUAUAUUAGUGACAAGGAUCUAAAAUCCAAUGUGCAUAAAAUAUUAAAAUUACACUUGUUCUGUUGCU